GCAAUUUGGACCAGAAUUGUUACCCAAGAAAGUGUCCUUCGGGUGAACAUAAAGGGGAGGCAGAGAGGAAGCACAUUCAGAUGUAGAAAAUCAACCUCAAUUCUUCAAGGUAAAGAAACUCAGCAGAGCUUUGAAGAUCAAAAACAGGUAUGGCUACCUUACCCACGCUAGCCGGCAGCUGGCUCAAACUAAAACUAUGACGUGUUUUCCUUGUUUGUAUCUUAAGGAAUAGUAGUAGAACAUAAAACCAAGCUGGAAAAUAAAGCCGUGAUAUAAAGCCUUAA